rnacentral:rRNA from 1 species
UACGUAGGUUGCGAGCGUUGUCCGGAUUUACUGGGCGUAAAGCGCACGCAGGCGGUUCCGCAAGUCGAAUGUGAAAGCUCCUGGCCCAACUGGGAGAGGCCGUUCGAAACUUCGGGACUUGAAGGCGGGAGAGGCAGAUGGAAUUUCCGGUGUAGCGGUAAAAUGCGUAGAUACCGGAAGGAACACCAGUGGCGAAAGCAGCUCUCUGGGACGGUACUGACGCUGAGACGCGAAAGCGUGGGGAGCGAACAGG